GGACGAACGCUGGCGGCGUGCUUAACACAUGCAAGUCGAACGGGGUGAUUUAAGCUUGCUUAGAUGAGCCUAGUGGCAAACGGGUGAGUAACGCGUAGGCAACCUGCCUCUAAGAUGGGGACAACAGUCCGAAAGGACUGCUAAUACCGAAUGUUGUGAGUUUUCCGCAUGGAAGACUCAUUAAAGAUGGCCUCUACUUGUAAGCUAUCACUUAGAGAUGGGCCUGCGUCUGAUUAGCUAGUUGGCGGGGUAACGGCCCACCAAGGCGACGAUCAGUAGCCGGUCUGAGAGGAUGAACGGCCACAUUGGGACUGAGACACGGCCCAGACUCCUACGGGAGGCAGCAGUGGGGAAUCUUCCGCAAUGGGCGAAAGCCUGACGGAGCAACGCCGCGUGAGUGAAGAAGGUCUUCGGAUCGUAAAGCUCUGUCGAAGGGACGAACGUGGGUUCUAUCAACAACGGAACCUAAUGACGGUACCUUUCAAGAAAGCCACGGCUAACUACGUGCCAGCCGCCGC
rnacentral:rRNA from 1 species